AAGUAUGCUGAGAGUUGCAUGUACAGUCCUGUCUAUAGAAGUUAUCGUUAAUUUUGAGGUUUUCUUGGUGUGAAGCCACAUGUAAAAUGUAUUAGCUCUGAGCAAAAUAAGAUUCUGAUAUGAAUCAUCAACAUCGCCGGCUGUGUGUUGUAAUUUUGUGUUUUCCUUUGAUGUGAAGUUGCAAUUUUUAGUCUAUGUGCUUAAGAAGUUGUAUCUCCAA
rnacentral:misc_RNA from 1 species